rnacentral:rRNA from 1 species
GGGGCGGGUAACAGGUGUAGCAAAUACAUUGCUUGACGAGCGGGCGAACGGGUGAGUAACGGCUUCGGGAAAUCUACCCAUGGGUGGGGAAUAACCAGCCGAAAGGUUGGCUAAUACCGCAUACGUCCUACGGGGGAAAGCAGGGGAUCGCAAGACCUUGCGCCGAUGGAUGAGCCGAAGCCGGAUUAGCUAGUUGGUAGGGUAACAGGCCUACCAAGGCGACGAUCCGUAGCUGGUCUGAGAGGACGACCAGCCACACUGGGACUGAGACACGGCCCAGACUCCUACGGGAGGCAGCAGUGGGGAAUAUUGGACAAUGGGGGAAACCCUGAUCCAGCGACGCCGCGUGUGUGAAGAAGGCCUGCGGG